rnacentral:rRNA from 1 species
CGGAGGGUGCAAGCGUUAUCCGGAUUUACUGGGUUUAAAGGGUGCGUAGGUGGGCGAGAAAGUCAGUGGUGAAAUCUCCGGGCUUAACCCGGAAACUGCCAUUGAUACUAUUUGUCUUGAAUACUUUGGAGGUAAGCGGAAUAUGUCAUGUAGCGGUGAAAUGCUUAGAUAUGACAUAGAACACCAAUUGCGCAGGCAGCUUACUACACAGUAAUUGACACUGAGGCACGAAAGCGUGGGGAUCAAACAGGAUUAGAUACCCUGGUAGUCCACGCCCUAAACGAUGGAUACUCGACAUUAGCGAUAUACGGUUAGUGUCUGAGCGAAAGCAUUAAGUAUCCCACCUGGGAAGUACGAUCGCAAGAUUG